UACGUAGGGUGCAAGCGUUGUCCGGAAUUAUUGGGCGUAAAGAGCUCGUAGGCGGUUUGUCGCGUCUUCUGUGAAAACCCGAGGCUCAACCUCGGGCCUGCAGUGGGUACGGGCAGACUAGAGUGCGGUAGGGGAGAUUGGAAUUCCUGGUGUAGCGGUGGAAUGCGCAGAUAUCAGGAGGAACACCAAUGGCGAAGGCAGAUCUCUGGGCCGUAACUGACGCUGAGGAGCGAAAGCAUGGGGAGCGAGCAGG
rnacentral:rRNA from 1 species